GUUUUAAUAAUUUAAAUAAAAAUAUUGGUCUUGUAAAUCAAAUAUGAAUAAGUAUAUUCUUAAAACU
rnacentral:tRNA from 1 species